rnacentral:rRNA from 1 species
UGAGGAAUAUUGGUCAAUGGGCGGAAGCCUGAACCAGCCAUCCCGCGUGAAGGAAGAAGGCCUUAUGGGUUGUAAACUUCUUUUCCGUUUGAAGAAUAAGCUUGUCGUGACAAGUGAUGCCGGUAGGACAGGAAUAAGCAUCGGCUAACUCCGUGCCAGCAGCCGCGGUAAUACGGAGGAUGCAAGCGUCAUCCGGAUCUAUUGGGUUUAAAGGGUGCGCAGGUGGUGUAAUAAGUCAGUGGUGAAAGUCUGCCGCUUAACGGUAGGAUUGCCAUUGAUACUGUAUGACUUGAAUAUGGAUGAGGUAGGCGGACUGUGUAGUGUAGC